rnacentral:piRNA from 1 species
GAAACUCCCUCACAAGCAUGCCCAGAAG